rnacentral:rRNA from 1 species
UACGAGGGGGGCGAGCGUUGUUCGGAAUUAUUGGGCGUAAAGAGCGUGUAGGCGGUUUGGUAGGUCCGUUGUGAAAACUCGAGGCUCAACCUCGAGACGCCGGCGGAAACCAUCAGGCUAGAGUCCGGAAGAGGAGAGUGGAAUUCCUGGUGUAGCGGUGAAAUGCGUUGAUAUCAGGAGGAACACCCAUGGCGAAGGCAGCUAACUGGGCAUUAUCUGACGCUGAGGCGCGAAAGCGUGGGUAGCAAACAGG